ensembl:lncRNA
AAAGUGAUGUACAGGAAUAAAAACUCAGUAUAUAAUACUGAUUUUCAUUGUUUUCUAGGUAAAAAAAGAAGAAAAAGGUAAGUUUUAUAUUCAUUCAAUUUAGUAGUAGGCCUAUAUGUUUGUUAGUAGUCUAUAUUGUAGUCCAGGAGCUGUAUGUGUAAAUGUUUAACUUCUUAUUUGAUAUAUUCAUGUAUGAAAAAUCUAUAAAACCUGAUGUGCCCAGUCAAGGAAUUGGUAUGGUGAGUGUCACAAUAAUAUUAACUAUAAAUACUUAUAUUAAACCAUAAUUAAUAUGACAUUGUUUGACGUAUACUAGACCUUAACUAUUGAUUAUGUUAUUUAGAGCUGUUCUGGACCUGCAGAGGCAUAUUCUCUGGUCACUUCUGUACCAGCCACAUCUCAGCCCAUGUCUGAAGAUGUCCUGGUCAAUAAAAAACAGAAACAGGGAAAUACAGAGAAAAAUGAGGUAUGUUUGAACACUGUCACACCCCAAGCCCGAAUCACCGUCCAUCAUCAACGGAAUACUAACACAUUCAAUCUUGCAUGUGUUUUCUGUCUUUCUUUCUUCUUUCUUAAGAAUGUUUAUCACCUGUACUCCACAAUCCCUGACAAACCAGUUCACUCACAUGCAGAAGAUCACAUGUACAGUUUGGUGAACAUGCACUGAUGAAUCUCAUGUCUGUGUUUAUUAUGUACAACCACUAUACUGUAAAUAAAAAAUCUUCACUUGCAGAUGAAUAAGUGUCC